UGUGUAACAACUCACCUGCCGAAGCAACUAGCCCUGAAAAUGGAUGGCGCUCUAGCGUCGUGCCUAUACCGUGCCGUCAACGGCAAAGUGGGCGCCGUCGGUAACGACGCGGCCGUUAGGCCUUGACGAGUAGGAAGGUCGCGGCGGUGUGCGCAGAAGGGUCGGGGCGUGAGCCCGCCUGGAGCCGCCGUCGGCGCAGAUCUUGGUGGUAGUAGCAAAUACUCUAGCGAGGGCCUGGAGGACUGACGUGGAGAAGGGUUUCUUGUGAACAGCCGUUGCACAAGAGUCAGUCGACCCUAAGCCCUAGGAGAAAUCCGAUGUCGAUGGGCAGCUAAACGACAAAAAAUCCUACAGCUCCUGUCGGGCAAAAGGGAAUCCGGUUCCUAUUCCGGAACCCGGCUGCGUAACCGCCAUUCAGCGGGCCUCGCCUGCGAGCGCUCGUCGUGGUAACACAAACUGGCCCGGAGACGCUGGCGGGGGGUCUGGAAAGAGUUUUCUUUUCUUUAUAAGCGUUCGAGUACCCUGGAAUCCUAUAGCAGGGAGAUAGGGUUUGGAACGCGAAGAGCACCGCAGUUGCGGCGGUGUCCGGACCUUCCCCCCGGACCUUGAAAAUCCGGGUGAGGGCUACGCGGAAGUCGCGCCGGGUCGUACCCAUAUCCGCAGCAGGUCUCCAAGGUUAAGAGCCUCUAGUCAAUAGACUAAUGUAGGUAAGGGAAGUCGGCAAA
rnacentral:rRNA from 1 species